GACGAACGCUGGCGGCGUGCUUAACACAUGCAAGUCGAACGAUGAAGCCUUCGGGUGGAUUAGUGGCGAACGGGUGAGUAACACGUGGGCAAUCUGCCCUGUACUUUGGGAUAAGCCUUGGAAACGGGGUCUAAUACCGGAUAUCACUUCUGACCGCAUGGUUGGUUGUUGAAAGUUCUGGCGGUACAGGAUGAGCCCGCGGCCUAUCAGCUUGUUGGUGGGGUAAUGGCCUACCAAGGCAACGAUCAGUAUCCGGCCUGAGAGGGCGGACGGACACACUGGGACUGAGACACGGCCCAGACUCCUACGGGAGGCAGCAGUGGGGAAUUGUUCGCAAUGGGCGCAAGCCUGACGACGCAACGCCGCGUGGAGGAUG
rnacentral:rRNA from 1 species